rnacentral:lncRNA from 1 species
AAGGGAGAAGAAUAUCAAAAUUAUUUCUGUGAAUUACCUUGAAAAUAUUACUCAUCGAAACUAUCUCUCAUUUUUAGUUUUAGAAUAGUAAUACUUGGUAAAUAUUAAAGAAGUUUUUUAUUUGAUAAAAGUGUGGGAUACUGUCAGAAUACUUAGGAAAGCCUCUUUGUUUAGCUGGGUUUAGAGUAGACUUCUGAGUCUGAGUAUCUUACUGUAUUGCUCAGGAUGGAAUGGAACAAUGUAUUUGACUAAGAAUUUAUAUUUCAUUCAUAGAGCUGGAACUCAAAGGUAUCUCAUUUGCAAAAAAAUUGCAUAAAAUUCUAAAUAUGUACUUCUUAUAACCUACAUUUGUCUACUAAAUGAUGAUGAUAAAGUUCAACCAAAAUUUUAAAGAGAUGCAAAGGCUGUACACAGUUGUAAUACU